rnacentral:ncRNA from 1 species
GAUAGGUCUCUGUCGCUAGCGUGAUUGGACACUGACAGAGAGUCAACUAGCCUUGUUCGCGCGGUUCUUCGGCGCGCAGGAACCGAAGACGGUCCGAGCCACGAGGGGGGAGGCUCGGACCGUCGUGC